UACGUAGGGGGCAAGCGUUGUCCGGAUUUAUUGGGCGUAAAGAGCGUGUAGGCGGCCAGACAGGUCAGCUGUGAAAACUCGAGGCUCAACCUGUGAAUGCCGCUGGAAACUGUCUGGCUUGAGUCCGGAAGGGGCGAGUGGAAUUCCUGGUGUAGCGGUGAAAUGCGCAGAUAUCAGGAGGAACACCAAUGGCGAAGGCAGCUCGCUGGAACGGUACUGACGCUGAGGCGCGAAAGCGUGGGGAGCGAACAGG
rnacentral:rRNA from 1 species